rnacentral:rRNA from 1 species
AAUAUUGGACAAUGGGCGAACGCCUGAUCCAGCCAUGCCGCGUGUGUGAAGAAGGUUCUCGGAUUGUAAAGCACUUUAAGCUGGGAGGAAGGGAGGUAAGUAAAUAUCUUGCUGUUUUGUCGUUACAGACAGAAUAAGCACUGGCUAACUUCGUGCCAGCAGCCGCGGUAAUACGAAGGGUGCAAGCGUUAAUCGGAAUUACUGGGCGUAAAGCGCGCGUAGGUUGUUUGUUAAGUUGGAAGUGAAAGCCCCGGGCUCAACCUGGGAACUGCUUGCAAAACUGGCAAGCUAGAGUAUGGCAGAGGGUUGUGGAAUUUCCUGUGUAGCGGUAAAAUGCGUAGAUAUAGGAAAGAACACCAGUGGCGAAGGCGACCACCUGGGCUAAUACUGACACUGAGGUGCGAAAGCGUGGGGAGCAAAC